UGGGGAAUAUUGCGCAAUGGGGGAAACCCUGACGCAGCGACGCCGCGUGAGCGAUGAAGGCCUUAGGGUUGUAAAGCUCUGUUUUAAGGGACGAAUGUUACGGGGAGUAAUAUACCCUGUAAAUGACGUUACCUUAAGAGGAAGCCCCGGCUAACUACGUGCCAGCAGCCGCGGUAAGACGUGGGGGGCGAGGGUUGUCCGGAAUUACUGGGGGUAAAGAGCACGUAGGCGGGAACUUAAGUCAGGUGUGGAAGACCGGGGCUCAACCUCGGGGGUGCACUUGAAACUGGGUGUCUUGAGGGCAGGAGAGGAAAGUAGAAUUCCUGGUGUAGCGGUGAAAUGCGUAGAAAUCAGGAGGAAUACCAGUGGCGAAGGCGACUUUCUGGACUGACCCUGACGCUGAGGUGCGAAAGCGUGGGUAGCAAACAG
rnacentral:rRNA from 1 species